rnacentral:rRNA from 1 species
UAGGGAAUCUUCGGCAAUGGACGAAAGUCUGACCGAGCAACGCCGCGCGAGUGAAGAAGGUUUUCGGAUCGUAAAACUCUGUUGUUAGAGAAGAACAAGGACGUUAGUAACUGAACGUCCCCUGACGGUAUCUAACCAGAAAGCCACGGCUAACUACGUGCCAGCAGCCGCGGUAAUACGUAGGUGGCAAGCGUUGUCCGGAUUUAUUGGGCGUAAAGCGAGCGCAGGCGGUUUCUUAAGUCUGAUGUGAAAGCCCCCGGCUCAACCGGGGAGGGUCAUUGGAAACUGGGAGACUUGAGUGCAGAAGAGGAGAGUUGAAUUCCAUGUGUAGCGGUGAAAUGCGUAGAUAUAUGGAGGAACACCAGUGGCGAAGGCGGCUCUCUGGUCUGUAACUUACGCUGAGGCUCGAAAGCGUGGGGAGCAAACAGG